CAGGUCUGUCGGGCGGCCGCGCGGUAUCACGCCGAAAGGUAUUACCGCGAGGAAAGUCCGGGCAUCACAGGGCAUGGUAGCUGAUAACGUCAGCCGCGGGUAACCGCCGGAAAAGGGCAACAGAAAUAGACCGCCUUCGAAAGAAGGUAAGGAUGGAAAGGCGAGGUAAGAGCUCACCCACUUCUACGGUAACGUAGAUUUGCUGUAAACUCUACCUGAUGCAACACCCUAUUGUCAGUCUUAAGACUCGCUUGACCCGAGCGCGAAAGGACGAGGGGUGGCAUGGGGCGAAAGCCACGGAGCUUUUCGGUGACGGAAAGCAAAGAUAGAUGGUCGCCGAACCCGAAAGGGGGAACAGAACCCGGCUUAUAGGCAGAGCUGUAUA
rnacentral:RNase_P_RNA from 1 species